GAGCUUGAGAUGAGGACGGAAGUACCGGA
rnacentral:sRNA from 1 species